UAGGCCUACGGGACGCAGCAGUGGGGAAUAUUGCACAAUGGGGGGAACCCUGAUGCAGCGACGCCGCGUGAGUGAAGAAGUAUUUCGGUAUGUAAAGCUCUAUCAGCAGGGAAGAUAAUGACGGUACCUGACUAAGAAGCCCCGGCUAACUACGUGCCAGCAGCCGCGGUAAUACGUAGGGGGCAAGCGUUAUCCGGAUUUACUGGGUGUAAAGGGAGCGUAGACGGAGGAGCAAGUCUGAUGUGAAAAUCCGGGGCCCAACCCCGGAACUGAAUUGGAAACUGGUUAUCUAGAGUGUCGGAGAG
rnacentral:rRNA from 1 species